rnacentral:rRNA from 1 species
GAUGAACGCUGGCGGCGUGCCUAAUACAUGCAAGUCGAGCGAACAGAUGAGGAGCUUGCUCCUCUGACGUUAGCGGCGGACGGGUGAGUAACACGUGGAUAACCUACCUAUAAGACUGGGAUAACUUCGGGAAACCGGAGCUAAUACCGGAUAAUAUAUUGAACCGCAUGGUUCAAUAGUGAAAGACGGUUUUGCUGUCACUUAUAGAUGGAUCCGCGCCGCACUAGCUAGUUGGUAAGGUAACGGCUUACCAAGGCAACGAUGCGUAGCCGACCUGAGAGGGUGAUCGGCCACACUGGAACUGAGACACGGUCCAGACUCCUACGGGAGGCAGCAGUAGGGAAUCUUCCGCAAAGGGCGAAAGCCUGACGGAGCAACGCCGCGUGAGUGAUGAAGGUCUUCGGAUCGUAAAACUCUGUUAUUAGGGAAGAACAAAUGUGUAAGUAACUAUGCACGUCUUGACGGUACCUAAUCAGAAAGCCACGGCUAACUACGUG